rnacentral:rRNA from 1 species
UACGAAGGGGGCUAGCGUUGCUCGGAAUCACUGGGCGUAAAGCGCACGUAGGCGGACUCUUAAGUCGGUGGUGAAAUCCUGGAGCUCAACUCCAGAACUGCCUUCGAUACUGAGAGUCUUGAGUCCGGGAGAGGUGAGUGGAACUGCGAGUGUAGAGGUGAAAUUCGUAGAUAUUCGCAAGAACACCAGUGGCGAAGGCGGUUGCCUGGAGCUUUGCUGACGCUGAUGCGCGAAAGCGUGGGGAGCGAUCCGG